GAAGUUUCACUGCUCAAUUCUCUGCCAUUUAGGAGUUAAAUCACUUUGUGUCUGUUUAUGCAGCCUUAGCCACACCUCCUUUGGCUGUGACUGACAGCCUGCAUUGAAAAAAACAAAAAAACUGUUUCAUUUUCAAUCAGAUGUAACUUAUAUUAAAAGAUUUUAUCUCCUGCUCUGUAAAUUGAACUUUAAUCACAUACAGGAGGUUCCUGCAGGGUCUAGCAAGC